AGGAUUUUUGUUUCCCAUCAAGGUAUUUCUACAGAAAUUUAGCUCGUAAAAUUUUGUUAUUUUCAGGUGCUGAUAAUGUAUUGGAAUCUGAUGCCAGCAAGACAGGUUCCAUAACCCAGUGUGAUCAGAGGAUAUUUGGAUAUUGAAGGAACAGGAAAUAAAGCAGAGUCAUUACUGAGUCUGCUUACCUGAUGAAAAAUUUUACACCACUGCCACAAAAAUGAAGUUCAUAUCUACAUAUCCAAAACUUCUGUUACCACCAAGAGAAGAAUAUUCCUCUCCUAGCCCACUGUCCAAAGAAAGAUGCUACAGAAUAGAGCUGGAUUCAGUCUGCAGCUUAACCAAGCCCAGCCUAGGGCAGUUGCCUCUCAGAAUCCUCACAUGCCACUCCUAUUGCCUUCAGGCUGGCAUUCGACAUCACAUCCCAGACAAGCCCAGUGGGUAAGUACAACUCCAGUUAAUGAAAGAAGUGACUCACAUGCUGAAGGAAUUAGACUCUGCCUGUGUGCACUGCUGGUGACUGGAAGCAAAUGUAAGAGUAAAUCUUGUGGGUUAGAAAAUAGGGCUAGACUACAUGUGGGCUAUAGAGUAAGUUAUUUACAUGGGCCACUCACCCAUGACUGGAGCUUCGAUGUUCUAACAAGGGCAUAUAUUUUUUUGGCAAUAACUUCUUGAAACAUGCUCUGAAGAUUGCCAAUAGAUAAAAUACUUCCUGAAAUAUACUAAGAAAGUAGUCAGUGAGGUCAAGAGAAGUGGGAAUGUUAC
rnacentral:lncRNA from 1 species